rnacentral:lncRNA from 1 species
AAGCCUCAUGCGGUGGUCGUAGCGGGCUUGACGGUCAAAGAAGCCUCCUUCUGACUCCACAUGAGACACAAACUCCUUGCGCUCCUCGAACCCGUAGCUACGGCGGCCAGUACCACGGCCGAACUCAGCGAUCCCUCCAACAAGCUUAUCAAGCAUUUUUUUCUUUCUUUAUAUAUGUACUUGAGUACUCUUUAGUGUGGAUAAGUGAUUAACAUCUUUCAGGCGUUUCUAUAUAUAUACAAUUCUUGUUGUGUAUACUAUAGUAGUAGUCUAGUGAUCGUUUAAAUUAGUGUUUUCAUGUGAUUCCAUUUGGCGAUUUAUUCGUAUAUAUCAUGGCAUGAUUUGAAUCUUAUUCUAAUCUUUUCCUACCACCACUACCAUACCGAAAGUUGAGUAGACAUAUUUGUUCUGAUUCCGUGCUUUUCAAAUUAUUGAUCAGUCCAUCUCACGUGUGAAAUCCGAAUUCUUAUUUGACUGAUCAAUUUUAACGAAGGCAUA